GAUGAACGCUGGCGGCGUGCCUAAUACAUGCAAGUCGAACGCUUCACUUCGGUGAAGAGUGGCGAACGGGUGAGUAAUACAUAAGUAACCUGGCAUCUACAGGGGGAUAACUGAUGGAAACGUCAGCUAAGACCGCAUAGGUGUAGAGAUCGCAUGAACUCUAUAUGAAAAGUGCUACGGGACUGGUAGAUGAUGGACUUAUGGCGCAUUAGCUUGUUGGUAGGGUAACGGCCUACCAAGGCGACGAUGCGUAGCCGACCUGAGAGGGUGACCGGCCACACUGGGACUGAGACACGGCCCAGACUCCUACGGGAGGCAGCAGUAGGGAAUUUUCGGCAAUGGGGGAAACCCUGACCGAGCAACGCCGCGUGAAGGAAGAAGUAAUUCGUUACGUAAACUUCUGUCAUAGAGGAAGAACGGUGGAUAUAGGGAAUGAUAUCCAAGUGACGGUACUCUAUAAGAAAGCCACGGCUAAC
rnacentral:rRNA from 1 species